AUUUCAUUAAUAAAAGAUCAUAUACAUGAAAAUCAUAAAAAUUUAAAAAUAAAUAAGGAGCGUAAAAUUCACUUACUUCAAUCAUUCUAGAUCUUUAGUCUUCCUUAAAUGAAUUAGAUAAUCCUAUUUAAAAUAUUAAAUCAGAAUCAAUUUUUAUUCUAUAAAUUCAAUAAAAUUAAAUAAUAACAGAAAGUGAUUGAUUGGGUGACCAA
rnacentral:lncRNA from 1 species